rnacentral:rRNA from 1 species
GUGCUGGCCAUCGGCAUGUGCACGUCCCCUCGCCUUUUUCUGUCUAUAUACACCUGUGCACCUAUUGUAGAUCCCCUCGAAAGAGAGGGAACUAUGUUUUCAUCACAUCACAUACAAAGAAUGUCUAGAAUGUAAAUGUAAAUGUGAUCCUAUCAUUCUGUGAUCGGUCACAAACAUACAUAUAAAUAUAAAUAUAUACAACUUUCAGCAACGGAUCUCUUGGCUCUCGCAUCGAUGAAGAACGCAGCGAAUUGCGAUAAGUAAUGUGAAUUGCAGAUUUCCAGUGAAUCAUCGAAUCUUUGAACGCACCUUGCGCUCCUUGGUAUUCCGAGGAGCAUGCCUGUUUGAGUGUCAUCGAAUUCUCAACCAUGAUCUCUUUUUCGAAAGAGAUGGUGGCUUGGAGUUGGGAGUUGCUGGCCAGACCGUCAGCUCUCCUUAAACGGAUUAGCGAUCGAGUUGGCUAGUCUUUGACGUACACGGCCUCGGACGUGAUAAUGAUCGUCCUGGCUGGAGCGUCCUUUUUUCUAGACUAUGCACAUAGAUGGCUUCUAAUAAAAACGAAUGGAAAACAAGGAAUCCGUCUAGCAAGCUUA